rnacentral:rRNA from 1 species
CCCUUAGAUGUUCUGGGCCGCACGCGCGCUACACUGAUGCAUUCAACGAGCCUAUCCUUGACCGACAGGUCCGGGUAAUCUUUGAAUCUGCAUCGUGACGGGGAUAGAUUAUUGCAAUUAUUAAUCUUCAACGAGGAAUGCCUAGUAGGCGCAAGUCAUCAGCUUGCGUCGAUUACGUCCCUGCCCUUUGUACACACAGCCCGUCGCUCCUACCGAUUGGGUGUGCUGGUGAAAUGUUCGGAUCGGCCGUUUGUCGCGGUUUCCGCGUCAUGUGGCUGAGAAGUUCAUUAAACCCUCCCACCUAGAGGAAGGAGAAGUCGUAACA